GCAUAUCAAUAAGCGGAGGAAAAGAAACCAACAGGGAUUGCCCUAGUAACGGCGAGUGAAGCGGCAACAGCUCAAAUUUGAAAUCUGGCUUCGGCCCGAGUUGUAAUUUGCAGAGGAAGCUUUGGGCGCGGCACCAACUGAGUCCCCUGGAACGGGGCGCCACAGAGGGUGAGAGCCCCGUAUAGUUGGACGCCUAGCCUGUGUAAAGCUCCUUCGACGAGUCGAGUAGUUUGGGAAUGCUGCUCAAAAUGGGAGGUAAAUUUCUUCUAAAGCUAAAUACCGGCCAGAGACCGAUAGCGCACAAGUAGAGUGAUCGAAAGAUGAAAAGCACUUUGAAAAGAGGGUUAAAUAGCACGUGAAAUUGUUGAAAGGGAAGCGCUUGUGACCAGACUUGCGCCCGGCUGAUCAUCCGGUGUUCUCACCGGUGCACUCUGCCCGGCUCAGGCCAGCAUCGGUUCUCGCGGGGGGAUAAAGGCCCUGGGAACGUAGCUCCUCCGGGAGUGUUAUAGCCCAGGGCGCCAUGCCCCCGCGGGGACCGAGGUUCGCGCAUCUGCAAGGAUGCUGGCGUAAUGGUCAUCAGCGACCCGUCUUGAAACACGGACCAAGGAGUCAAGGUUUUGCGCGAGUGUUUGGGUGUAAAACCCGCACGCGUAAUGAAAGUGAACGUAGGUGAGAGCUUCGGCGCAUCAUCGACCGAUCCUGAUGUUUUCGGAUGGAUUUGAGUAGGAGCGUUAAGCCUUGGACCCGAAAGAUGGUGAACUAUGCUUGGAUAGGGUGAAGCCAGAGGAAACUCUGGUGGAGGCUCGCAGCGGUUCUGACGUGCAAAUCGAUCGUCAAAUCUGAGCAUGGGGGCGAAAGACUAAUCGAACCAUCUAGUAGCUGGUUACCGCCGAAGUU
rnacentral:rRNA from 1 species